GCGACGGUUCGCGCAGGCGCAGUGGGGAGGCGUGGCGGCGCCGUUCCCGGGUGGUGACAGCUGUCUGGGUUCUUGCUGUAGUUGUGGGCUGGCUGGCGGGCUGGCGGCUAGCGGGCAAGACGGUUUUUAAUCUACCAGAACAUUUUACAAUUACAAACUCAGGAGUCCCAAGGACAUAUCCAAGGCCCAUACAUCUGUUUGUCCAUCUAUCAAAUCAGGCUGUGGAAGUGAUUUGCUGCUCCGUGACAGAGACACCCAGAGAGGAACUUG
ensembl:lncRNA